GACGAACGCUGGCGGCGUGCCUAAUACAUGCAAGUCGAGCGGACAGAAGGGAGCUUGCUCCCGGAAGUUAGCGGCGGACGGGUGAGUAACACGUGGGCAACCUACCCUGUAGAUCGGGAUAACAUCGAGAAAUCGGUGCCAAUACCGGAUAAUCAUUUGAAGUGCAUGCUUCGAAUGUAACAGAUGGCUCCGUCUAUCACUACGGGCUGGGCCUGGGGCGCAGUAGCUAGUUGGUAAGGUACUGGCUUACCAAGGCAACGAUGCGUAGCCGACCGGGGAGGGUGAUCGGCCACACUGGGACUGAGACACGGCCCAGACUCCUACGGGAGGCAGCAGUAGGGAAUCUUCCGCAAUGGACGAAAGUCUGACGGAGCAACGCCGCGUGAGUGAUGAAGGUUUUCGGAUCGUAAAGCUCUGUUGUUAGGGAAGAACAAGUGCCGUUUGAAUAAGGCGGCACCUUGACGGUACCUAACCAGAAAGCCACGGCUAACUACGUGCCAGCAGCCGCCGCAGUAA
rnacentral:rRNA from 1 species